rnacentral:rRNA from 1 species
AGUAAAAGUCGUAACAAGGUUUCCGUAGGUGAACCUGCGGAAGGAUCAUUACUGAGACUGGGUGCUUCGGCGCCCGACCUCCAACCCCUUGUCUAUCUACCACUGUUGCCUCGGCGCGCCCCCUCGCGGGGCCGCCGGCGGCCCAAACGUAAACCCUUCUUGAACCACGUCCUCUGAGAAAUAGAAUUAAUAAUUCAAAACUUUCAACAACGGAUCUCUUGGUUCUGGCAUCGAUGAAGAACGCAGCGAAAUGCGAUAAGUAAUGUGAAUUGCAGAAUUCAGUGAAUCAUCGAAUCUUUGAACGCACAUUGCGCCCUUUGGUAUUCCGAAGGGCAUGCCUGUUCGAGCGUCAUUAUCAACCAUCAAGCUCUGCUUGGCAUUGGGCGACACCCCCCGGCACCCCGGGGGGAGCGCCCCAAACCGGUCGGCGGUGGCUUCGGGCCUCAAGCGUUAGUAGAAUCUCCCGCUUCAGAGGACCCGCGAGUCGCCCGCCUCGAGAACCCAUCACCUCAAGGUUGACCUCGGAUCAGGUAGGGAUACCCGCUGAACUUAAGCAUAUCAAUAAGCGGAGGAAAAGAAACCAACAGGGAUUGGCCCCAGUAACG